GACGAACGCUGGCGGUGUGCUUAACACAUGCAAGUGGUGCGACGAACCAGAGCUUGCUCUGGGGCAAAGCCGCGAACGGGUGAGUAACACGUGGGUAAUCUACCCCGAUGACCGGGACAACCCGAGGAAACUCGGGCUAAUACCGGAUGUGGUGCGGAGACAUAAGUCUCUUCACUAAAGGUAGCUUCGGCUUCCGCAUUGGGAGGGGCCCGCGGCCCAUUAGCUUGUUGGGGGGGUCAAGGCCUACCAAGGCAACGAUGGGUAGCUGGUCUGAGAGGACGAUCAGCCACACUGGGACUGAGACACGGCCCAGACUCCUACGGGAGGCAGCAGUGGGGAAUCUUGCGCAAUGCGCGAAAGCGUGACGCAGCAACACCGCGUGAGGGAAGAAGGCCUUAGGGUUGUAAACCUCUUUCAGAUGGGACGAAGGUUCUCCGGUGAAUAGCCGAGAGGAUUGACGGUACCGUCAGAAGAAGCUCCGGCUAACUACGUG
rnacentral:rRNA from 1 species